UACGUAGGGUGCGAGCGUUAAUCGGAAUGACUGGGCGUAAAGGGUGCGCAGGCGGUGCGUUAAGACAGAUGUGAAAUCCCCGGGCUUAACCUGGGAACUGCAUAUGUGACUGGCGCGCUAGAGUGUUGAAGAGGGGGGUAGAAUUCCACGUGUAGCAGUGAAAUGCGUAGAGAUGUGGAGGAAUACCGAUGGCGAAGGCAGCCCCCUGGUCAGAUACUGACGCUGAGGCACGAAAGCGUGGGGAGCAAACAGG
rnacentral:rRNA from 1 species